AGUAAAAUCAGCUAAAUAAGCUAUUAGGCCCAUACCCUGAUCAUGAUGGUGAGAACCCUUCUUUUGCUA
rnacentral:tRNA from 1 species